UUGACCUCGGAUCAGGUAGGGAUACCCGCUGAACUUAAGCAUAUCAAAAGGCGGGGGGAAGA
rnacentral:rRNA from 1 species